rnacentral:sRNA from 1 species
GAGCCGCGUCACUCACUUGUUAUGACGCCCAGAAACUGGACAACGGUGUCUCAGGGAAGGAAGAUUUGCGCAGUAGCAAAGAUUUGUCGAAACCACUUU